rnacentral:rRNA from 1 species
AGAUACAAUAUAAUAUAAAACAUGAAAUAUAAGACACAUAAUUUCGUUACAAGGAACCCCGCCCCCGUUAUAGUUUUUUUUAACUGCUCAGGACGAACGCUGGCGGCGUGCCUAAUACAUGCAAGUCGAGCGGACAGAUGGGAGCUUGCUCCCUGAUGUUAGCGGCGGACGGGUGAGUAACACGUGGGUAACCUGCCUGUAAGACUGGGAUAACUCCGGGAAACCGGGGCUAAUACCGGAUGGUUGUUUGAACCGCAUGGUUCAAACAUAAAAGGUGGCUUCGGCUACCACUUACAGAUGGACCCGCGGCGCAUUAGCUAGUUGGUGAGGUAACGGCUCACCAAGGCAACGAUGCGUAGCCGACCUGAGAGGGUGAUCGGCCACACUGGGACUGAGACACGGCCCAGACUCCUACGGGAGGCAGCAGUAGGGAAUCUUCCGCAAUGGACGAAAGUCUGACGGAGCAACGCCGCGUGAGUGAUGAAGGUUUUCGGAUCGUAAAGCUCUGUUGUUAGGGAAGAACAAGUACCGUUCGAAUAGGGCGGUACCUUGACGGUACCUAACCAGAAAGCCACGGCUAACUACGUGCCAGCAGCCGCGGUAAUACGUAGGUGGCAAGCGUUGUCCGGAAUUAUUGGGCGUAAAGGGCUCGCAGGCGGUUUCUUAAGUCUGAUGUGAAAGCCCCCGGCUCAACCGGGGAGGGUCAUUGGAAACUGGGGAACUUGAGUGCAGAAGAGGAGAGUGGAAUUCCACGUGUAGCGGUGAAAUGCGUAGAGAUGUGGAGGAACACCAGUGGCGAAGGCGACUCUCUGGUCUGUAACUGACGCUGAGGAGCGAAAGCGUGGGGAGCGAACAGGAUUAGAUACCCUGGUAGUCCACGCCGUAAACGAUGAGUGCUAAGUGUUAGGGGGUUUCCGCCCCUUAGUGCUGCAGCUAACGCAUAAGCACUCCGCAUGGAGGACUUCACGU